rnacentral:rRNA from 1 species
UCUGUUUGACUAUAAAAAAAGUCUGACCUGCCCACUGACUAGGAGGAUUUAAGGGCCGCAGUAUUAUGACUGUGCAAAGGUAGCAUAAUCAUUAGGUUUUUAAAUGAGAUCUUGUAUGAAUGGUCGAACAAAGGAGAAGCUGUUUUAGUUUUAGAAUUUGAAUUUUACUUUUAAGUGAAAAGGCUUAAAUAUUUUAGAGGGACGAUAAGACCCUAUAAAGCUUUACAUAAAGGUUGUAUUUAAUUGAAUUUAUAUUUAUUUUAAAGGUUUAAUAUGAAUUUUGUUUUGUUGGGGAGACAGGGGCAGAAGUGUUUUAACUGCUUAAAAGGCAAUCAUUUAUUUAUGGUUAGUAGAAGAUCCUUAUUAAAGAUUAGAAGUU